GACGAACGCUGGCGGCGUGCUUAACACAUGCAAGUCGAGCGGUAAGGCCCUUUCGGGGGUACACGAGCGGCGAACGGGUGAGUAACACGUGGGUGACCUGCCCUCAGCUCUGGGAUAAGCCUGGGAAACCGGGUCUAAUACCGGAUAUGACUCCAUGACGCAUGUUGUGGGGUGGAAAGCCUUGUGCGGCUGAGGAUGGGCCCGCGGCCUAUCAGCUUGUUGGUGGGGUGANGGCCUACCAAGGCGACGACGGGUAGCCGGCCUGAGAGGGCGACCGGCCACACUGGGACUGAGACACGGCCCAGGCUCCUACGGGAGGCAGCAGUGGGGAAUCUUGCGCAAUGGGCGAAAGCCUGACGCAGCGACGCCGCGUGAGGGAUGACGGCCU
rnacentral:rRNA from 1 species